GCCAGUUGGUGGCGAAAUGCACCUUAAACUGAUUGCUAAUAUCAAGUCUGGAAGUUCCGGCUCCCAUUCAAUUAAUUGGAUCUCACAACAAACAUUCUUCCCCUACUUCUUGUAAACAAAAGCCAACGUGGGUGCUUGAAAGAUGGGAGAUUUAUCGUUGAAGUAGAAGUACUCACUUUUAUAUGACCCGUCUUCAAAAUUCUACAAGGAUCCAACUAAAAAAAGAUGCAUUAUGGAGUGAGAUUGCAAAGACCAUGCACAUUUCAGAAGAUGAAUUGUGCAAAACCAGAUGGAAGUCCCUCCGUGACACUUUUGUAAGGCCAACAAAAGACAGAAGAGUCUCCAUCUCUUCUGCACUCAUCUGGAAGUAUCGGUGAUGUCGGGCAGGGUCCAAAAGCAACUCCUGGACAACUUGGUAGUAUUGCCCAUGCUCCCUUCUCAGCACAUUUAUGGGAUGCACCCAUAACCUCCUCCUCCUUCCCUGUCUGAGCCUCAAUAAUACAAGGGCGACCAACUUCUGUUUUUAGCAGGUGGUGUCUGUUAAUCCAUGCUGUUUAGAAAAGCAUAGUUUAGUUUUAGUUGUAUAAUAAUACAGGUUCUUAUUUCAUGGGCUUUUAUUCUUUUAUUCAGCAUUGUUUAUUUCUCAUCCCAGAGUGGUUUGGUUGUAAGGUGAAAGAGACUGGCUAAUUAUAGUAAUCAGCCUGCCAUCAUGUAUAUUAUUGGCAUAAUGGAGUCUUUGAGAGGAAAGUGCCUAAAUGUGUAAAACAAUUUGCAUUUAUUAAAUGUAUUAACUCCU